rnacentral:rRNA from 1 species
GUCGAGCGGUAACAGGUGUAGCAAUACAUGCUGACGAGCGGCGAACGGGUGAGUAAUGCUUUGGAAUCUUCCCAGUAGUGGGGAAUAACCAGUCGAAAGAUUGGCUAAUACCGCAUACGUCUGUAAAGGGAAAGCGGGGGCUCGUAAGACCUCGCGCUAUUGGAUGAGCCAAAGUCGGAUUAGCUAGUUGGUGGGGUAAUGGCCUACCAAGGCGACAAUCCGUAGCUGGUCUGAGAGGACGACCAGCCACACCGGAACUGAGACACGGUCCGGACUCCUACGGGAGGCAGCAGUGGGGAAUAUUGGACAAUGGGGGAAACCCUGAUCCAGCGACGCCGCGUGUGUGAAGAAGGCCUGCGGGUUGUAAAGCACUUUUAGUGGGGACAAAAAGCUACGGACUAAUACUCUGUGGUCUUGAUUUAACCCAAAGAAAAAGCACCGGCUAACUCUGUGCCAGCAGCCGCGGUAAUACAGAGGGUGCGAGCGUUAAUCGGAAUUACUGGGCGUAAAGCGCGCGUAGACGGUUUUGUAAGUCAGAUGUGAAAUCCCUGGGCUCAACCUGGGAACUGCAUUUGAGACUGCAUGGCUAGAGUAUCGAAGAGGGAAGUGGAAUUUCCGGUGUAGCGGUGAAAUGCGUAGAUAUCGGAAGGAACACCAGUGGCGAAAGCGACUUCCUGGUCGAAUACUGACGUUCAUGUGCGAAAGCGUG